UCGGGGUGAGGAAUAUUUUGAAAUUUUACGCCAUUUUGGACGACCACGUGGCCGAGUUUGUGCAGCUUUUCAGCAUCGGAUUAAACUUUUAUGUGGUAUAUAGUCUCGGAAAUUUAUUGUAUGUUAUGUAUUUCCUCGAAAUUACGAUUCAUAUUGAGCAGUAUUUUUUGAGUUUUGUCAAUAUUGGGAAAUUGGUCGUUUUCACGGCGUACUUUUACUGGUUGGCGAGCUGCUCGAGUGCGGUGGAAGAGAAGAGUGGGAGGUUUUGUAAGAUGGUGAGGUACGCGUGGAGUAGUAAUGGGUGGGGCGGCAGUGGUAAAGUGAGGAGAAAAAAUAACCAGCUCGAUGAUAACGUGGUCAUGUGUUUGGGAUUGGAACCCAUCGUCAUAAAAAAUUCCGUACUGGAUUUCAAUGUUCGGCUCCUGGUAUCGAUGAUUGCUGUCAUUGCAACGUAUUUGGUCAUCAUAUUUCAAUUCCAAGCAGAGGACACGGCUUAAAUAAGCCUUCAAAAAAAUUGGAAUGAUACCUGCAAAAUCACCUGACAACAAGGAAACUCGGAUUGUUUUUAACUUAAUUUUUAUACGCAUAGCAUCUAUUUCGAGUAAUUCUUAUUAUUUUCUAUACGGCCUCAUAAAAAUUUGAAUUAAAAAAUGAUAGCUUAGUUAAAAUCAGAGGA